CAGCUAGUUUUUUCCCCCUUCUUCUCCAUUUGCUUUAAAAAAAUUUUUUUUUCUUUAAAAGUAUGAAGCUUUGAGACGCUGUGUCUCUUGGAUUACUCAGGAGAUAAGGCAUUUGUGCUUUGAGUAAUGACAGCAAUAACUGUUUACUGAAUAAUUUUUGUGUCAAGACUGACUGUAUACUUUGUGGAGCCCCAUGCAAAUGGGAAUGUGGCGCCCACUAUUCGACAAUUAUUGAGAAUUUCAAGACGGCAGAGCAUUACCCAAAGUACAGGUCCCUUCUCCGUGGAACUGUGCAGAUGGCAUGUCCAUGAAGCUGGCUCCGACUGGGUUAAUUCUUCACAUCUGUGGCCAUCUGAAGAAGAUCUUAUCUUCCCAGCAGCAAAAGCUUUCCUUCUUUUCCUGCUCCAAGAAAAGGCAAAGUGACUGGGUUGAUGGGACUCCACGGGACUAACAAUGGUUGGCCCCUGAACUGUUUUCUAAGGAUGGAAUCAGCGAAAACUGCCUGGCUUUUGUUUUGCUGGCCAGAUCAUGCAAGCUGUGAAUUGAAUUACUAGGGAAAGGAGAAAAAUAGUUGAGAGGCAGUGUUGGGAAUGUUAGGCUGAAGGAAAAACAAAGAGAACUAGAAGACGUCGGGGCCCAUAGUGGAACUUUGAGAAAUGAACAGAUGCGUUUAAAAGGCUCCCAUCCUGGUUCCCACAUUACACUGAGUCAUCAUGUCUCCAUAGGCUCCUCCUGGCUGUGACUGUUUCUCAGAUUUUUCUUGUUUUUGGUUGCCUUGAGAGUUGUCAGCGGUAAUGGUCAGGUAGGUACUGAGAAAUUGAGCAAUUCACAAUAGAAUGGAUAUGGCAGCAGCUUCAAAAUUUACAAAAUAGUUGAUUAUGAUCACAUGCUACACCCUCGACUUGCUGAUGGGGCAGCGUGGAUUCAACCAGGAAUGUCCUCCUUCCUGAAUGGAUGAUGAUGGGGCAAACACAGCGUUCCAGUCACUAGACAUGUACCUCCUAUGCAGGUGGGCACACAAGACAGCUGACUAAGUAGAAGUUGGCUUACGUAUCCUUCCAUUUUUAGGGGAGUGAAGAUAUGCAUUUAGACACUUGAUUUUCUUAGCUUAGGGAGCACUGUAGGCUAAACUGCUUUGGCCCUGAGGGACUCUUUGCUAUUGGCAGCCCUGGGCAGUGUAAGGUUUUAAAAAUUCAUUUCUGAUAUAUAGUUGACAUGGAUUUUUUUAAGUGUUUAAAAUUGUACUGGGUCGCUACCUUGGCCCUCAAAGAAUUCUGCUCCUAUUGGUUCCUGGUUCUUGCUCCUCCUUCUCAUAUUGCCCUAACUUCACAUUGAGUUCCAUUUCCAAGUUGGAUAUUUGUCUUUUUGCAGGGAAGAAAUGCAUGAGAAAUUUGCAAAGAGGGAAAGCCAAGAGCACCUGUAGUGUUCUGGAGGUAGCUGCACACUGACAUCCCUUCACACCCAGUGGCCUCUUGUGAAAGAGAAGGCAAUGCAAUGCCGUCGGAGACAAAGCCCAGCUGAAGAGAGGCAGUGCACUUGCUGAUGGAUACUAAAUGAAAAGCAGGCAGAAAUCAGCAAUGCAUCCAGCUUCUGUUGAGGGAGAUUCAGUGGAAUGAUUUUUAUAUUUUCAUGAAGAAAUUACAGUUGAAUAUUAAAACCUGGUAUUUCAGUUUAUCUGGUCUGACUCCCAUCUAACUAACCAACAUAGCCAUGGAUUUUGUAAAACUCACUUAGCAAAUCAUCUUAAUUGGUACCAAAAAAGUGAUGGCUAUGGAAAUAUUGGCAUUUCUAUGUGCAUAACUGAUGUUUUUAUGAGGAUAAGAGGGAGAGAAGAAUCACAUUUCAAAGAAGCUUCUACUGAAAUAAACUAACCAGAAGAACUAAUUGUGGCAUACUUAACAGCUUUGAGCUUUAUGUGUACACUACCUAUGUUUCCUGUUCAGCAAGUGAAUGUCCCCAGGCCGGUAGGGGCAAUGUGAAGAUGAAUCUUAUAUCUCCAAUUUCUCGAAGAACAUUUAUUCAUCUUCCUGGAAUUCACUCAUUGCCAGUUCUUUUAGAAAUACUGACACAGUUAAUAGUGUCUAAUGUCGUGGAUGACUGCCUUCCACCGAUGUCGUGACUUCCCACCCAAGAACCAAUGACUUCUUUCUCUGUGAUUCAGCUCUCCACUGACCCUCAUGGGCAAGAGUGGGGUUUCAGCAAUUAUUCUUUCAACCUCUAUUGAUUAAUCACACGAUAUAAGCCAGACACAGUUCUGGGCAGCAGGAUACAAUAGUGAACAAGACAACCCCAAAUCCCUGCUCUUGUGGAACUGACAUUUUCUCAUGGGGUGUGGGGGUUGGGGAAGAAUGAGAGAUGUUAAAUGCAAAACCAAAAUAAAAGAAAUUUUAAGAUCAUGUGAUAGGGAGUGGCUGGCUGGUCAGGGAUAGCCUCUCCAGGACUGGGACAUUCAUGGGAGUUGACAUGUGAAUUAUGAGAAGAAGCCGACAAUGCCAAGAUCACAUGGCAACACGUUUCAUGCAAAAGAAACAGCCAGCAUGAAGCCUGUGAGCUGGGAACAAGACCGGCUCAGGUCAAGGGACAGACAAAAAGGCCAACAAGGCUGAAAAAGAAUAAGGAAGAGGAGAGGGGUGUGAGGUUCAGCAGGAAAGAUCUGAAGGACUGGGUCAGACAGGGUUCUUCAGGACAUGGAAAAGAAUUUGAAUUUUUUAAAUAAAUGCAAUGAGAAGACACUGGAGAAUUUUAAUCAUGAGGGUAACAUAGUCUGUUUUGCAUUUGAAAACUAACAUUGUGACUGUUAGGCAGCAAAUGAAGUUGCCCUCCCCCAGUCCAUCCCUGGCCGUGGUUGAUCGAAACAUAAGUGACCAUCUUACCCGGUGUGUUUUUUGUCACUAUGGAAUUUGCAUUUAGGAACAAAGGGUCUGUGUUUAUUCAAGUGGUCUCUUCAUGGGGCCGAUACUGUAACAUACAUAGCUGGGGGUCUGAGGCAGCCACGUUGUGCCAAGGGCACUGAGGAGAAAAUGGCGGCCUGCUGGAUUCUUCUUUCUUCUGAGGCUCAGGUGACUGCUUGUCCUCAUAUCACUCCACCAGACUGUCAGGAGCUAAGCGGAGCUCGAGAGAGCUGAGCUGCCAGGUGUCAGGGUAGCUGAUUAAGACAACAAGCCAAGAUGAACAGUGAAGGCUUUAAUCAUUUACUGCAAUAGUAUGCACAAGAGACUAAACCAGAGAAAGUGCCGACUCCCCAUCAUUCCAUUUUCCCCAGCGCACCAGCCCUCAUUGAGGGUCUGGAUCAGCACUGAAGCCAAGGGAUUGUCUCACAGCUGAGGGACCCCUGAACAAGAGACUCCCGCCAUCAAAUGGAUCUGGAGCUGGCGGGGGGUGGGGAGAAGGAAGGGCUAUGAGUGUGAAAGUACUGAGCACUGAGUCAGAGUGGAGAAAAACAUCUCCAAGCCUCCCCGCUUCUUCUCCUUGAUAAGGUGACCCCUGCAGAGGUGUCUAAGAUAAGCCUCUGCAGAAAGCCUGUGAUAAAGAGGCCUCCAAAGAGAGGCACCUGGGCCAGGAAUGUGGAUGUGCAUAAGAGCAAGGCUGGCUGGGGGGACUCAGUGCUUGACUGCAACUCCCCUCAGAGACUCAAUGUGUCGGCUGUGCCCCAAGUCUGCAGUGGGGAGGGCAGUUUCUCCCCACGAGGUCUGACAGAUGUGAGAGAUGGAGUAAGAGAAAACCAUACCACAAUGGCUGCUGCCAGGCAGGAGUACGUCUUGGGCUGCUACUGUGGCUUCAUCACGUCCCCAUCCUGUGCUUAGAGGAGACCUCAUGGUUACAAGGUGGCCUCCCUCACUUCUAGGAGGACAUGAUAUCUAAAAUAUUUCACAAAUGGUACAGAUCUGGAGGCCCCUGCUCUUCCAGGAGUUUUUCCCUUUAGAAUCACAGGGAGAUCCAGGGGGCUUGGGCAAGGCACUAAGACAAAGAGGGACACUUGGGGAAUUCAGGAAAGUUGCUAUUUACCAACUGAUGGGAAAGUCUUUCAGCAUUUUCACAACUGCACCACCGUAUCUGUGGUAGCAGCUGAAUAUCCGUCCCAUUUCUAGAAUUCAGGUGGAAGGAGGAGGGAAGAAGAAGGGUGUGGGUUUCUCUUUUAGCAGGGCAUUGCAUUUAUUUCCUAAGAACAUUCUCCCAAGAAACUAAUACCCAAAUCUCACUGGGCCAAAGUAGGCCACGCGACAACUACUAACUGCAAAGGGGCAUGCAUCUGUGUUUUCCAAGCCUCUGCAAUCCAGAGAGGCAAGGAAAAGGGAGUUGUGACUGGCUUUUGGAAAGCCACUUCCCAGUUUCUGCUACACCUUAUCAUUAUGGUUUGGGAAGGGCACGAUUAAAGGCCAGCUCAUCUAUCCUAGAGGUGGGCAAAUUGAGAACGAGGAUCUCAGAAAGCAAAAAGCCCAACUUAAAGUAAUGCAUUAUAUUUUGAACACUGAAUGUUUGACAAUACAUUUCACGGCUCAUUUCCUGCUACUUGUGAAUGCUAGUAAACACUCAGAGAGCGAAUUCACAUUUUUCAUGUCAAAUAUCCUUAUGGUUCUCCCCUCCCCCAGCUUGUCAACAGUUAAACAGGCCCCUGUGAGGACAGUCUGUUCACACUAUAAUCUUCUGCGACACUAAACCUUAAUCUGUCUUAAAAAUUUCUAUUGUUUUUCACUAAAAGGUUAUUCCAGAAAUAUUUUAUAGAGCACAUUCAUUUUCUUGGCUGAGAAUGAAUUGCAAAAUCAGAGACACUCUAACCAAUACUGAAUCUCCCUUCCCAGUCCAAAUUUAAGAAUUUCAUGCGGAUUACUCAUUGCCAUCUAUCUAGCUAAUUCAAUGUCAUUAUUUUUCUCUGGUCCAGGCAGAAUUUACCCUUCCCUGAAAUGAGCUUAUCCCAUAAGAUAUUAGUGGAAGGAGAACAAUGUUGGUGAAGUUAGAGUCCCUGAAGUCCACACAUCCACUCUCAAGCCUGGAAUUAAGGAUCUGUCAAAGUCUUCCAUUAGAAGAGAAAUUUUUUUUUUUUUUUGAGACGGAGUCUCGCUCUGUUGCCCAGGCUGGAGUGCAGUGGCAUGACCUUGGCUCACUGCAACCUCUGCCUCCCGAGUAGCUGGGACUACAGGCACCCGCCAUCAUGCCCUGCUAAUUUUUGUAUGUUUAGUAGAGUCAGAGUUUCACCAUGUUGGCUAGGCUGCCCACCUCAGCUUCCCAAAAUGGUGGGAGUACAGGCAUGAGCUACCGCACCCAGCCUGUUUUUUUUUUUUUUUUAAAUGAUUGCAACUUGCAAAUUAAUAAAACAGAGAAUCAGGAAAGAGUUUGACUUAGCAACUAGUGACCUUCCCUAAAUACUUGGUUUUGCCUUUGAUUUCAUUCCCGCACUCCAACCUUACCCUGUUCUUAGCCUAAAUCUCACUUACUAUACAGAUUACAAUUUAUCUGCCACUUCCUUUCAUAGGCUUUCUCUGUCCCAAAGACUGAGUAAGGAACUUUGUCUGAACCUCCUCAUCGUCUACUCUCAUUUCUAACAUCCUAGCAAGUCUACAUCAUGGUGCAUAUGCAGCACUGUCCAAUGGAAAUGGAUGCAAGCCAUAUGUGUAAUUUAAGAGUCUCUAGUAGCCAUUUAAAAAAAGUAAAAAUAAACAAGUAAAACUAAUUUUAACAUAUUUUCUUUAAUGGAAUAUGUCCAAAGUAAUAUCAUUUUGAUAUCUAAUCAAUAUGAAAAAUACUAAUGGCAUAUUUUACAUCCCUUCAGUAGUUCCAGUGAAUGCUUUAUAUUUACAUAUCCCUCAAUUCAUUUCCUUCUUCCCUUCCUUCCUUCCUUCUUCCCUUCCCUUCCCUUUCCCUUUCUUCCUUCCUUCCUUGCCUCCCUCCCUCCCCCUC
rnacentral:lncRNA from 1 species